rnacentral:lncRNA from 1 species
GUUUUAUCCGGGGUUUCCGCUUUUGCGUCUUCGUCAUUUUUCUCUUGCUACCACCAUUUGAGAAGUGCCUUUCGCCUCCUGCCAUGAUUCUGAGGUCCUCCCAAGCUAUGGGGAACUGUAAAUACAAUUAAACCUCUUUUUCUUCCCAGUCUCCGGUAUGUCUUUAUCAGCAGCAUGUAAAGGGACUAAUCCAGAGAGCCCCACCUGGAAGACUCUAGGUUCUCAUCUUCAUGCCCCGAUGUAAGGAGAGUGGUCCUUCUGUACAUCAGGAGUCUGAAAUGCAUCUCACUGGGCUAAAAUCAAGAUCUGUGGCACAUGGAACCACAUGUGGGACAAGAGACUAAUAAAGAUGUGACCUACUCACAGAGGCUUCAGGUGUUUUGCGAAGUACAUUGGCUUUUAUUCAACGUGCAGUGGGACUCCAACUAAAGUGUUUCAGGAAGGCACGGCCCUUUUGUGAUCUCCUGGUUCUUGUAAAUCUCACUGUGGCUGAUGAGGUCUGGAUAGAUAAUCAUGAUGGUGGCUGAAGAGAGACAAUGGUGGUGCUAGGUUACCAGUGGCGUGGAGCUCAGAGCUAAUGCAGAGCAGCUGGAGCAGUGCUGAGUUUCAAAACGUGUUGGAAAAAAUAUUAUAUGAAUGAUGCUAUUUUUUUCACUGAAUCACAUCAAGAAGCACAUGAUGUUAAGCUGUCUCAUCAUUGGUGGUGUUAACUUGGAUCGCUUGAUUAAGCCCGAGAACUACUCACUCUGGGUCUCCUCUCCACUGAGGGCUGCACACAUGCCGGGAUGACCUGCCUGUGGAAAGGAGCUACAACUUCAGGUCUCCUGAGAGCUGUAGGUUCUCCAGUCAGCAGACACUGAAAUGCCUACAUGACUAAGAGAUUUUUGUGGGGGUAAUAAGGGUGCCUGUUGAAAGCAAAGGGGAGAAAGCAGAAUUGGGCAGGAAAAGCCUUCAGACUUCCAGGUAUAUCUAUGAAAGUCUAGGCCAACCCAGUGGGGAGAUUUGAAGCUGGGAUUUACCAUUUGAGAGACCCUGUGUUGGGCAGAAAUAGUUAAGGUGCCGUAAAUGGAAG